rnacentral:lncRNA from 14 species
AUUUGAUCAGCCUGUCAGUGUCCCAAGAAAGACGAGACCCUUGUGUCCGACCAGCCUGUCUGCAUCCCAUUGUGGGAACCGUACUGGACAGCCCACUGUAUCGGAGGGUGAUUCGACUAACCUAUUGAGGAACCCACCCUGACAGCGUCGCUGAAUCAAAUCCCUUACGUGCUGUUUAUAGUACACUGGCUGGAAAACAAGCUUGAAGCAAGACACACCAAAACGACAGUCACUAAUAACAGCUAGAGUGAGUUAAUUAUUUAGCAUGCAUAAAAUUCUUACCCAGUAGGUGUCCCUAUGGGGAGCAGGCAGGGUCAGCCCAUCAGCUCAUCCCAGAAGUUCCAAUGAACUUCUCACCUCCUCUUUUUUUCUUUCUUUUUUUCUUGUUUUCCCCAGAGUCACUCACCCUGCUGUGCACAGCUACAAACACGGGGCCUGCUCGGCAACCGCACUUCUGCAUGAACCCUUUCUUGCCCGAAAGGUUGAACUGCUACCUGUUAAAACUUUUACAUGACCCUGACAACAAAGAAUAUACAGAACACUGUCUGCCCUCAUCACACACACACACACACGUAUGCACAUAUGGGAUCCCACAAGCACACUCCACACAACUACAAUAUUUAAAACACAAAAUCCAGACAACCAUACUCCCUCUACACAGUCCCACAUGCAGAGCAUGGCACAAGGACCUUGUGAAGACUGUCAGGAAACCAGCUCCGAGAAGCAUCAUUGCAGUGCAAGGUGGCAGGCUCAACCUUAGCGGGCGUCCCCACAGAGGCUCUGCCUCCCUCACAUCGCAUGAGGCUUGGGCUUUCAUACUGACCAAAAUGCACACUCAUUCCGACACAGGUGGCCAGCCUAUGUUGGAAGAAGUUGCCAGCAAUAUCUAUAAAGGUUUCCAAGGGUUGAUAGAAACAUGGACAUACUUUUAUUUACCAACUUCUAGUAAGAAGAUGCAAGACUCUACACUUGCCCUUGUUGAAUUUCAUCAAGUUUCUCCCUGCCCAACUCUCCAGCCUGUCCAGGUCUCGCUGAAUGGCAACACAGCCUUCUGGUGUGUCAGCCACUCCUCCCAGUUUAGUGUCAUCAGCGAACUUGCUGAGGGUACACUCAGUUCCCUCAUCCAGGUCGUUGAUGAAAAUAUUAAACAGCACUGGUCCCAGCACCGACCCCUGAGGGACUCCACUGGUCACAGACCUCCAGCUAGAUUCUGCCCCAUUGACCACAGCUCUCUGCCUUCUUCCUUUCAACCAG